CAGAAAAGAGGAACCACUCUGUUGCAAGUGUGGGUUUAAGACAAACUGCACAACUUUGCUCACAACUCUCGACUUUGGCGUCUCAAGCGGUCAUGCAGGAGAAUAACACUUGUGUCCCUGGAAACGGUACCACAUGUGCCGCCCCUAAUUCCCCCGUAGGUCUCGCCGUGGGCCUAACACUUUUCUUUCUGAUGCUGGUUGCCAUUGCUGUUACCAUCAUGGUCAAAUUCUGUAAGAAGAAAUGGAGUCUGCAACUAUUGAGUCAAAGAAAAAGCCAAAAGAAGGAUUGCCCAGCGACGCCCCAGUGGGACCACCAGUACGCCGGCAUGGUCAGAACAAAGUCAACCGAGAAUACCCCCAUCUAUGAAAACUUGACGAGCCAGAAAAGCUGCGCCAGCCCUCAGAGGAGGCCACCUUGUGUACCCGCUGAGGAUUUGUACUUGCAGUGUGAUUCACCCGAUGAUGCAAUAUACAGCAACGAUCCUGCAUGUAACCUUUACAUUCUCCCGGACUCCCGAGAUGACGACGUCUAUAUUGUUCCACAAUUAUAAGACCAGACAUGACAAUCUGAUAAGAAUUUUCUUUUUUAUAUAGACUCUUUCUCUCCAUGAACCAUAUAGCUUGCUGAACAAACCAUACGUAAGAAUAAGAGCCACUUGAUAUGCAACUUGCUGAUGAUGAAUGGUGUAUUUGGAUCAAUCCAUGCAGAUGGGAAAGUACCACACACUGUGGUAAUGUUACUGUUGGAUCAAGAAAGCACUUUGGAGUUUUUGUUUCAAUUUCAAUGAAAAAUAGCUGGGUUAGGCUCCAGCACUCCUGUGACCCUUGUGAGGAUAAGCGGCUCAGAAAAUGGAUGGAUGGAGGGUACACAUCUUGCCAUUUUUUUUUCUCUUUUUUUUUUUUUUUUAAAUGAAUCACCCUCACUGUGAGAAAAAGUAAGGGCAUUAUGUUCACACUUCUUAGCUACUACUACAGCCAUUAAACAUUAGUCUUUGAAAGAUUUCCUCCGCCUCAUAGUUUAUAGUUGCCCAAGUCAUAAUUUUAUGUUUUCGGAAAACAGGAAAUAACAGUACCUACAAUGGGUGGGCAAAGUACGGCCCACCAAGAUUUUAUGUGAUCAAAUAUCCUGGAUUAUAUGCUGCAUUAACAUAACUUUUUAAAUUUUUUUAUGUUUAUUAAAUAAUGUUUUAUUUUACUUUUUACCCUGCAUAUACUUUGGUUAUAUACAGGCUGGAGGAAAAGCAACUCGACAUUAGAAAAUCAUUGUAAUAAAGUCCAUAUUACUGACAAAUUUAUUUCAGCAAAUGAUACUGUACAUGUUCUUUAUUACAUAGGAAAAUGAAAGAAAAUCAGUUGGCAUUAACUAGUUUCCUCAAGAGAAAUGAACAACCUUUUGAAUGAUGUCAAGGAUGUCGUAUAUUCACAGGAAAGAAAGACAGACAAGAAAUCUCCAUUAGUGUUGUCAAAAAUGUUUUCAUAACUUAAGUAAUACUAAACAUUCUAUAAGCAAUUUGUUACUUUUCACCCACCCUGUAUAUUUUCGAAAAAGUAUUGAUUUGUAUUCCUUUUUAAAUAUAUAUCUCAUUAUUGUUCAAUUGAUUUAUUGUAAAUAAUACAGUAAAAUAAAUAAAACACAUUUUCUAAAUGUUAUGAAAUCAUUAGUUGUAAUUACAUUAUAAAUAAAAUAUAAAAUAAAAUACUGUACUUUACAUACAUGCUAAAAAUGUUUUUAACUUAAUUUCCAAAAGAUCUGUCUAAAUAUAAAUUUAAUUAAACAGAAGCUCUAGUAGCCCAUAGCCAGUUUGUCAUUUUGUUCAAGUGAAAAAUUGCAGUCUAUUCAUUGCCUUUUGCUGUUGUUGAUGUAAAACAAAGUCAGUUUUAUAUGUAAUAGUGCUUAACUUUCCGUGCACUUUUCUACUAAGUUCAACCCCUUGAACUUUUCACUUUAUUUUAUAACAUCUAAUCGUCUACGUCCCGUGCCAAGGUCAAGGCUACAGUCAAAGCUGUGUCAGGGUCAUUCAUAAGAGAUACUAUAUAAAUUAUCAAUAAGCUGAUUUCCCGUGCAAACACACCCUGACCUUCAUAAAGUACUGAAUUCAUUUGAUAAUGGCAUAGCCAACAAGUCUUUUAUUUCCCGCAUGUUUAUUAUGAAAUGUCCUUGUUGAUACUGCAAAUUCAAGUGCAACAGGUCAGUAUUGAUAAAUAAAAAUUACAUUGAAAUACAAAUUUAAAAAAAGUUUGCUGUAUUACAAUACCUCCCAACAUAAAUGACAAUAAAAUAUGAAAAAGUAUUUUAUAGCAGUGAUUCCCAACAACUGUGCCAUGCAAUGGAAAUUAUUUAUUCAUUAAAAAUAAUUCUUUUAGUAAUAUCUAUGCCAGUGAUGUAUAGUGACAGGGAUAACAAUUAAAUGCUGUUUCACAAGAUGGCAGAAGGUACAAUUAACCUGUGAAUCCACCUGCUGCCAUUCAUACAACAGAACAAUAGCUUUGUGUUCAAUAAACAGGCCCCAAUUGCACAAUACAGCGCUGCCUUGAGAUAUGAGUGGCCCAAAAAACAGACAAUACUCACAUAAAUAUUGUCUGUGAAAAACAACAAAUAUGACUGCAGCUUACUGAGUUUGGUUGUGACCAUCUCCAUUUAUUUUCAUGUCUGCAUUAUACUGCACCCAAUGGCCAAGCUGCACAUAUCAACGGAGCAGCACAAUGUCCAUUGAAUUGUAACCAAAAAUGUGGCAAAACUUAAAUUUCCUUAUCUUUUACUUAAUUACAUCAUUAAUGUAUCUUUUUAUAAAGUACAAUUUUAUAGAGUGCUAUUUUCCUUUUUAAAAACACACACUACAAAGAUUUUUGGGGAAGCUGGAUCGGAUUAAUGGCAUUUCCAUUUAGGAAACACUGUUUAGUUUAGGAAACACUGCUUUGUACAAUUAUGUAACAACAGCAAUAGUCCACUUGAGACAUUAAUAUGGUUUAGGACAAUAAAUAGAACUUUCAAUAAAUAAAACAUUCAAAGAAAACAUAAAAAUCCAGCCAGCAAAAACAAAAGUAGCUCCAAUAGUCAUUAACUUUGUCUGCCUUAGGCACAGUGACAUUUAGUGACAAUCAGGUCAUCAAAAGGUGUCAGUUUCAACUUCCCCCUGCUGUCGUAGUACAUGAGGACCAUGGGCUCGUAGGAUGCCGGUACACAGCAAGGCCGAGGCGAGCCGCCCUUCAGGAUCUGGUGCAGGCGAGACUUGACCUGAGUGUGCAUGGUGGCUGGCUUGUAGUUGUGCGGGCACGUGCCGUCGCACAAGUGCAUGGUGUACUCCGUGGGGGCCACGAUCCAGUCGGUCCAGCCAAUGUCUUUGAACGACACGUUGAUUGAUUUGCGGCAGCACCAGCCUUGUUCGUUGCACUCGUCCUCCAUGUUGGAGCGAGGCAGCCUUCGAUUUUUUGCCGCUUUGGGCUGAAUUAAGUCUAAUUCCAAAGAUAUAGUUGGGUCGCCUUCACCCAUUGCCAUCCUUACGUUCACAACCAAUGACGUAUCAUCUGUUCUCAUCCACUUUGUCACUUUUGUGCUGAUGUCCAUCGUCACAUUUUGCAUGAGUGAGACAUCAACGUGAGGGUCCAUGUGUGUCCGUCCAGUUAAGUUCCCCACCUCCAGGCGUUUGACUUGAACUUUAAUCUGCCUUAAAUCAGAAUGUGUUGGAUGUAUUAGACUGUGCCUGGAAACCUUGAGCUCAGCUCGGGUUAGAAUGGCCUCCAUUUGAAUACUUGGGUUCUUAUGGAAAACAGCUCUGUACCACUGCAUGUGCUGACCAGGGGGCAAUGGUAGCGGUUCCUCCCCUUGAGGUGCUUUUAUUGGCCCUACAAUAGAAAGAAAGCGUAGGAAUGUGUGAAGUUUUUAAUUUCACUGUAUUCCCAAAGCACUUCCAAAUAUAUAUGUAAAAAUAAAUCGGAUGCAAGGUGUGCCUGUCACAUUUUGUAAAUGUC